rfam:Dipodomys ordii contig_29914, whole genome shotgun sequence.
GGUGGCUCAGUGGUAGAGCAUUUGCCUUGCAUGCAUGAGGUCCUGGGUUCGAUUCCUCAGCACCA